CAGUAGCCGCGGUAAUACGUAGGGCGCAAGCGUUGUCCGGAAUUAUUGGGCGUAAAGAGCUCGUAGGCGGUCUGUCGCGUCUGGUGUGAAAUCCCGAGGCUCAACCUCGGGCUUGCAUCGGGUACGGGCAGACUAGAGUGCGGUAGGGGAGACUGGAAUUCCUGGUGUAGCGGUGGAAUGCGCAGAUAUCAGGAGGAACACCGAUGGCGAAGGCAGGUCUCUGGGCCGCAACUGACGCUGAGGAGCGAAAGCAUGGGGAGCGAACAGGAUUAGAUACCCCUGUAGUCCCUGUCUCUUAUAA
rnacentral:rRNA from 1 species